GGGGGGGGCGCGGCGGGGCCCCAGCCCUGAGCCGCCUGUGCCCGUGCCAGGUCGGGGAGAAGACGCCCGAGUCCCAGCGGCAGGCGUGCGCGGGGCACCUGCCGGCCAUCAGAGCCUUCUUCAGGGAGGCCAGCGUGGUGCUGAGCGCCCGGCGCGCCGAGGAGGUGACCCAGGAGGGGCUGAGCCGCGCUCUGGCCCAGCUGGCCCCCGCCGCGGCCCCCCCGGCCAGGAGGGCCCCCCCGGCCGACACCGAGGAGCUGGUGGGCACCAACUACCGCAAGACGAACCCGGCGCUGGAGAUCCGCCGGACGCAGCGGGACUCCUUCUGGGCGCAGGCCGAGCGCGAAGAGGAGCAGCGCAAGGAGGAGGAGCGGCGGCGGCUGCUGGAGGAGCGGCGGCGGUGGGAGCGGGAGCGGAUGGAGGAGGAGAGGCGGGAGGCGGCCGAGCGCGAGCAGCGCUUCAGGGAGAAGGAGCGGCUGAUCGAGGAGCACCGGUGAGCGCGGCACCCCCGGGGGCACGCAGCCGCCCCCGCCCCGUCCCCGCGGUCCCCGCGGUCCCCGCGGUCCCCGAGCCCCGGCGGCGGCCCCGGUGCCGGCCCUGAGGGUCCCCGUCCCGGCAGGAAGGAGCAGGCGCGGCUGGAGGCGGAGGAGCGGAGGAAGGAGAAAGCCCGCUGGGUGAGCGGGGACGGGGACGGGGCACGGGGGG
rnacentral:lncRNA from 1 species